rnacentral:rRNA from 1 species
GACGAACGCUGGCGGCGUGCUUAACACAUGCAAGUCGAACGGAAAGGCCCUGCUUUUGUGGGGUGCUCGAGUGGCGAACGGGUGAGUAACACGUGAGUAACCUGCCCUUGACUUUGGGAUAACUUCAGGAAACUGGGGCUAAUACCGGAUAGGAGCUCCUGCUGCAUGGUGGGGGUUGGAAAGUUUCGGCGGUUGGGGAUGGACUCGCGGCUUAUCAGCUUGUUGGUGGGGUAGUGGCUUACCAAGGCUUUGACGGGUAGCCGGCCUGAGAGGGUGACCGGCCACAUUGGGACUGAGGUACGGCCCAGACUCCUACGGGAGGCAGCAGUGGGGAAUAUUGCACAAUGGGCGGAAGCCUGAUGCAGCAACGCCGCGUGCGGGAUGACGGCCUUCGGGUUGUAAACCGCUUUCGCCUGUGACGAAGCGUGAGUGACGGUAAUGGGUAGAGAAGCACCGGCUAACUACGUG